rnacentral:rRNA from 1 species
CCCUUAGAUGAUUUGGGCUGCACGCGCGCUACACUGACCCUAACAAUGAGCAGCUGUCUGGCCUGAGAUGGCUGGGUAGCCUUUUCAACCCAUGUCAUGAUUGGGCUAGAUUUUUGUAAGUCUUGAUCUCUAACGAGGAAUCCCUAGUAUGCGUGAAUCAUCAAUCCAUGCAGAUUAUGUCCCUGCCCUUUGUACACACCGCCCGCCGCUCCUACUGAUUGGGUGAUCCGGUGAGCUGUUCGGCCAUAGCAAUGUUUCUUGAGCAGGGCAAUGAAUGUUUCGCAAACCUUGCCACUUAGAGGAAGGAGAAGUCGUAACA